rnacentral:lncRNA from 1 species
UUUGAUACUAUAAGACAUCCAAACCAAUAUCAACCAUAUACAAUAUGCAGGAGCUUCUUUUUUCUUUUUUUCUUUUUUUUUUAUGAAGGAAAUAAUUGAAGGAGUUGAAAGGUGAAAGUUCACUCACAAAAUGAAACGUGUCGAUAGUUGGGUCCCUCUAUCUCUCUACAGUCUACACGUUAUUUUUGGAUUUUAACCAAUUCUUUUUGCUACUUGAAUAGUAAAUUUGUGGCUAAUUCGUUUAGAGUGAGUUGUGGCUUAAUUAUUAUUUUGGUUUGAACCCUCAAAAGAUUAAAUUCCAUAUUCAAU